GUGCGAACGUUGUUCGGAUUCACUGGGCUUAAAGGGCGCGUAGGCGGGUGGUCAAGUCCAGGGGGAAAUACUCCAGCUUAACUGGAGAAUAGCCCUGGAUACUGGUCGUCUUGAGGGAGGUAGGGGCAUGUGGAACUUCCGGUGGAGCGGUGAAAUGCGUAGAUAUCGGAAGGAACGCCGGUGGCGAAAGCGAUGUGCUGGACCUCUUCUGACGCUGAGGCGCGAAAGCCAGGGGAGCGAACGGG
rnacentral:rRNA from 1 species